rnacentral:lncRNA from 1 species
CAGAAUCUCACUGGGCGCUAUGAAGGACUGCUGUUGGCACUGGCUCAGGCAGCUGCUGCUGUCAAGGCAAGAAGACAUUUUAAUUUUAAGGGCAAUGAACACCUUCCUCUGGAACUAGAAGGAACUGCUAGAGGGAACUGUGAAGGGAAGGUGAUGUGCGCUUAUCUUUCUCACCACUUUUUCUACUCCUUUCUUUUUUUUUUUUUUCCGUGGAUGUGUUCUAGUGGCCAAAUCAUAAAUCCAUUCAGCUCUCUAAUGUAACAUCUAAUGUUGAUAUGCAGGAGAGGCAAAAUGUACCUUGCAAAUCAGUUGUCAGCCAAAAUGAAGUGGGAAGGCAGAUUCCCCAAAAUGCACUCGGGUCCUUGACCUGCUUUGAUUGACACAGAUGUGCAUGACUGAUGCAGUGGCAGGCUCAGUAAGCCAUGAAGCAGUAGUUUAUUUAACCAGGGAAUUGUCCAUAUCUGAGAGUGUUACUUAUAUAGUGUGUGUCUAUGAAUAAAUAUUUUUAAGUUUAUAUGUAAAUGGUGCCU